rnacentral:rRNA from 1 species
AUUGAACGCUGGCGGCAGGCUUAACACAUGCAAGUCGAGCGAGUGGCGGACGGGUGAGUAAUGCCUGGGAAACUGCCUGAUGGAGGGGGAUAACUACUGGAAACGGUCGCUAAUACCGCAUACCAUCAGAUGUGCCCAGAUGGGAUUAGCUCGUUGGUGGGGUAAUGGCCCACCUAGGCGACGAUCCCUAGCUGGUCUGAGAGGAUGACCAGCCACACUGGAACGGAGACACGGGCCAGACUCCUACGGGAGGCAGCAGUGGGGAAUAUGGCACAAUGGGGGAAAGCCUGAGGCAGCCAUGCCGCGUGAGUGAAGAAGGCCUUCGGGUUGUAAAGCACUUUCAGCGAGGAGGCGUUACUCGCAGAAGAAGCACCGGCUAACUCCGUGCCAGCCGCCGCGGUAAUAC